rnacentral:rRNA from 1 species
UACGGGGGGGGCAAGCGUUGUUCGGAAUUACUGGGCGUAAAGGGCUCGUAGGCGGCCAACUAAGUCAGACGUGAAAUCCCUCGGCUUAACCGGGGAACUGCAUCUGAUACUGGAUGGCUUGAGUUCGGGAGAGGGAUGCGGAAUUCCAGGUGUAGCGGUGAAAUGCGUAGAUAUCGGGAGGAACACCGGUGGCGAAGGCGGUUCUCUGGGCCUGUACUGACGCUGAGGAGCGAAAGCGUGGGGAGCGAACAGG